rnacentral:rRNA from 1 species
GAUGAACGCUAGCGACAGGCCUAACACAUGCAAGUCGAGGGGCAGCGGAGAGGUAGCAAUACCUUUGCCGGCGACCGGCGCACGGGUGAGUAACACGUAUGCAAUCCACCUGUAACAGGGGGAUAACCCGGAGAAAUCCGGACUAAUACCCCAUAAUAUGGGCGCUCCGCAUGGAGGGUCCAUUAAAGAGAGCAAUUUUGGUUACAGACGAGCAUGCGCUCCAUUAGCCAGUUGGCGGGGUAACGGCCCACCAAAGCGACGAUGGAUAGGGGUUCUGAGAGAAGGUCCCCCACAUUGGAACUGAGACACGGUCCAAACUCCUACGGGAGCAGCAGUGAGGAAUAUUGGUCAAUGGUCGGCAGACUGAACCAGCCAAGUCGCGUGAGGGAAGACGGCCCUAC